UCCGUGCGGUCCUACAUGUUCAGCUUCUGUCGUCUUGGCUUUUGGUACCAAAUCCAGCACUGACUGCCACAGCCCGGGCCAAGAGCUUACCACCUGUUUUCUCCCAGGACUUCUAUGGUUUUGGGUCCCGCAUUCAUGACUGUAGUCCGUUUUAAGUUGGUUUUCGUGUGUGGUGGAAGAAAGUGGCCCAGCGCCACCCUCUGUGUCAGCUGCGUCUUGUUCCCAGCAUCAUCUGUCGGAGAGACUGUCCUGUCCCCUUCUGUGCUGCUGGCUCUUCUGUCGUUAAAGAUGAACCAACAGUCAUUUAACCGGUGCCCUACCAAGGCAAAUUGGAUCAUUCCCGUUUUCCUGCUCCUAUAAAGAUUGCUCUAGGAAACAACCUGAUGCGUGAGAACGUUUAUGGUCACAGCAGGGAUCGCUCGUGUCACUGCCACUCAGAAUUGUGCGGUCCAGCCUCGUAGCCGGAAAGGGUGGGAAAUGCGGUCCAGCCGUGCGUCCGGGAAGGCGUCCGGCUGCAUUAACCCCUCAUGUUCUCCGCCUUAGGAGCUGGAGUGCCGCACUGUUCAGUUUCUUGGCCUUUGUCUGUACAGACUCCACUCAUGUCCCCACUGACCGGGUCAGCAACUUCCCCACUCCCUCCGGCGAGACUGCUCCCUGUGUGUACAAGUGGAGAAUUCCCACCCUGGGAGUCCUGGCCCCCGCGAUGUGCUGAAGGUUGCACACAUUAAUGUUCACUCCGUGCAGUGAGGUUCUCCUUGACAAGAGUAUGAAGUCAUGCCUCCUCCUACUCCCCAGAUCUCGGUUUCUAGUGCUUUCGUCAAUAAAAGGGACCAGCAUCCUUCGCUGAUUUUCGGAUUGGGGCAGAAGAUAUGCUAGGUGAGCCUGGGGCAUUUUAUCUUGCCAGCAAGUAAGACAGUGUUCAAAACAAACAAAUUAAAGAAACAAACAAAGCUCACGAUCAUGAAGCUAUGUAUGCCGAUGGGACACAGGAGCCAAAAGAAAGAGCUCUCGAGGCCAAACCAGGGAAAACUUGAGCAACAAAGUAAAGUAGUGUUGAAUAUAACCCAACAUAUAAAGCAAUUCCACAAGCUCAUGCUGAUAUAAGUAAUUGAAUAAGUAACAAGUGGAUAAAAAUAGUAAUUAAUGAUAACUGGGAGACACAUACCCUACACAAAAGAAUCCCUAGUAAUUGGUGCAGAGAAGCUGCCCUCGAGGAGGUGGUGCACAACCACACACUCUAAGUGUGGGCUGUGCAGGGGACCUCCACCCGGAGAGCGCGGGGCAGAAGGGGUGAGCUCCGUCCAGAGAGCGCAGGACGGAAUGGGGGCACAUCCUUCCAAAGAGCUCAGGACGGGGGACCGUGAGCAACGGCACAGCAGAGACCCUGGACAAGCCCACUGCAGCCGGCAGGCCAGGCAGCAUCACGGUGGCAAGUCCUGUCGGUCUCGUGUACCUGACAUGACGUGAUGACAGUGGCUCUUGGCCUCUGCGCCCAUCCCCUCAAAGCCAUGACCCCAGCGCAGUGGUGAGAAAAACAGCAGAUUCCCAGACGGUGACACCCUACAAUAUACCCGACUGGUCCUCCUUCAAACUGUGAGGAUCAUCACAAACAGGAAGUCUGAGAAGCUGUCACAGCCCAGAGGGGCCCCGGGACACAUGAGGACCGAAUGUCAUGUGGGGUCCUGGGUGAGGUCCUGGAGCAGGAGAAGGACAUUAGAGGAAACGGAGGAAAUCUGAGCAAAGUGUGGGCGCAAUCAAUAAUGAUGCAUCAGUAUUGGCUGAUUAGUUGUGGCAAAUGUACCGUACUAAUCAUAUUAGUCAGGGUUCUCCAGGAAAACAGAAUUAACAGGUUAUAGGUGGUUAUCGAUGUAGAUAUAGAUUUAUUAUAAGAAAUUGGCUCACAGGUGCCUGAGUGGCUCAGUUGGUUAGGCAACUGCCUUUGGCUCAGGUCAUGAUCCCAGAGUCCCGGGAUCGAGUCCCACAUCGGGCUCCCAGCUCCACAGGGAGUCUGCUUCUCCCUCUGACUCUCUCCCCUCUCAUGCUCUCUCUCACUGUCUCCCUCUCAAAUAAAUAAAUGGAAUGAAAAAAAAGAAAGAAAGAAAGAAAGAAAUGGGCUCACAUGACUGUGGAGACUGAGAAGUCCUAACAUCUGCAGUUGGCAGCUGGAGCCCGGGGAGACCUGAUGUGAAGUUCCAGUUUGAGAGUGGUAGGCUUCAAACCCUAAAAGAGCUGAAGUGUCAGUAUGUGUCUGAAGGCAGGAAAAGACCCAUGUCCCACAUGAAACAGGCAGGAGGAGUUCCCUCUUGCUUAGGGAAGGGACAACUUUAAAAACAAAACAAAAAAAACCCCCAACAAAACCAUCCCUUCAACUGAUUGGACAAGGCCCACCCACCCUGAAGAGGGUCAUCUCUUUCAUUCAGUCGGCUGAUACACAUGUCAGUCUCAUCCAGAAAUACCCUCACAUACACCCCGGGAAAACUGUUUGAGUUAAAGUCUGGGCAAUGUAUUGCCCAUUCAAGCUGACAUACAGAUUAACCAUCAUGUAAGAUGUUAAUAAUAGGGGACUUUGAUGUGGGUUGUAGGGGAACUCUGUGCUAUCUUCAGAAUUUUUCUGUAAAUCUAAAACUGUUAUAAAAAACAUUUUUUAAAAUGCCAGAAAGAUUUGAAACAAGAAAGAUUCUCUUGCUGGCCUUGAAGUAACAAACAGCAUGUUGUGAACUCCUUCCUGAGGGAGCCCUAUGGUAAGGGUCUGAGGGUGGCCUCCAGGAGCAGAGGACAGUCCCCCGCCGACAGCCAGCCAGAGGUCACGACUUCAGCCCUACCCCCUCAAGGCUCUGAAUUCUGCCAACAAGCAGUGCCCUUGGAGGAGGAACCUGAGCCUCAGAUGGGCCCUGUAGCCUGGUGACCCCCGAUGUCGGCGAGUGAGACCUGGGCAAAGGAGCAGCAACGCACACCGGGACUGCUGACCCUGGAAACACUGACAUUAUGAGCACACUGUUCUGAGCUGCUGGGUCUGUGACAGCUGGUUACACAGUGAGAGGAACGGAUGUAUCAGGAACGUCCAGAAUGUUUGACCCAGUAUCUGGGCAUCAUGGCCCAGCUGAGCGGACACACAGAAUUAGCCGCCACACCAGAGAAUGGGCGGGCUUGUGAAUCACCGACAGUCCAGUGGAACCAGCGUGUCUUGGGCAUGUCGCCCACGGGGAGGGCCUGUCUGGGAGCGGGGCUUCAGCGCAGUGGAGUACAGAGGUGGGCUGAGGAAGGGGCAGCUGGCCUCUCCACGUGGUCUUUACCCAUGAGCUCGGAGUUUCCAGUAAAUGCUGCCACAUAAGAAACACUUAGUGAAAGUCUGUCUUUGUGGAUAAAAGGAAGAGGCUGAGUUUUGCAGUCUGGGUGAGAGUUGGAUCUUUCUGGAAGUGGGCAUUUAGUUUUGAAUGAUAUUGCAGGACGCACCCAUUUUUAUAUGACUUGAAAUGGUUCUUAAACUUGUCCGUGUAUCAUGGUUCCUUUGGAUGGCUAUUGGGACAGUUGACAGGGACCGCCGCAGCGUUUCUACCUGAUUUCUAACGAAUUUCCAGGUGAUGCUGCUGUUGCUGGUCCAAUGUUUCAUGUGAUGAAAUAGAUCUGCUAUAAAAUGGGAAUGUUUGGGGCGCCUGGGGGGCUCAGUUAGUGGAGCACUGACUCUGGAUUUCAGCUAAGUUCCUGAUCUCUGGGAGGUGGGAUCCGGCCCCCGUCGGGCUCUGCGCUCGGCAGGGAGUCUGCUUGUCCCUCUCCCUCUGCCUUUGUCUCUAAAAUAAAUACACAAAUAAACACAAUCUAAAAUAAGUGA